rnacentral:rRNA from 1 species
UAGGGAAUCUUCGGCAAUGGGCGAAAGCCUGACGGAGCAACGCCGCGUGAGUGAUGAAGGUCUUCGGAUCGUAAAACUCUGUUAUUAGGGAAGAACAAAUGUGUAAGUAACUAUGCACGUCUUGACGGUACCUAAUCAGAAAGCCACGGCUAACUACGUGCCAGCAGCCGCGGUAAUACGUAGGUGGCAAGCGUUAUCCGGAAUUAUUGGGCGUAAAGCGCGCGUAGGCGGUCAAUUAAGUCUGAUGUGAAAGCCCCAGGCUCAACCGGGGAGGGUCAUUGGAAACUGGUUGACUUGAGUGCAGAAGAGGAGAGUGGAAUUCCAUGUGUAGCGGUGAAAUGCGUAGAUAUAUGGAGGAACACCAGUGGCGAAGGCGACUCUCUGGUCUGUAACUGACGCUGAGGCUAGAAAGCGUGGGUAGCAAACAGG